CCUGACCAGGCCACAAAGCAAACGGCACAAAUUCCCGGGAUGCCAGCCCAGCAGGAGAGUCCCUGGUGCUCUUCCAGCUCUCCACAGCAGUUUGAAAAGCCCAGGCUUCUCAUUUCCAGAUUAGGGGCUGCUGGGACCUUGAGAGAGACAGACCUGGGGGGAGUCCAGACUCUGCCUUUACUGUCUGUGUGAUUUCGAGCAGGUCUCUCUCCUAUAAAAUGUGAAACAUGCAGUCAAAUGUGACCGGGUGACUGUGAGGAUUCAGUGAGAUAAUGCACAGUGAGGCUUGGCAUGCAGAUGCACAGUCAGCCCUGACACACUCUUAUUUUCUUUGCUGUCAGGGUCAUAUUCGGGAACAGGAAUGGGGUUUAAUAGGGCUCUUGAGAAAGCAAGAAUGAAACAGGAAAUCUGGAAACCUGGGCCCAGGCUCCAGCGCUGGCUGAUUAAGGGUCUGGGCAAGGUUAUCCCAUGUCUCACCCCUGUGGUCUCCAUACAGGUAAACAGAGGGGCUUGAAUUCCAUGACCCCUAAAGUGCCUUCUGGCUCCAAUAUUCUGUGAUUCGUGACUCUGAGCAAACAUCAUUUUUUUACUGGACUCCAUUAAAUGGAGGAACCAGGGCUGGCUCAAGCCUGUAAUCCCAGACCAGCCUGGCCAACAUGGCGAAACCCCGUCUCUACUAAAAAUACAAAAAUUAGCUGGGCGUGGUGGCGGAUGUCUGUAAUCCCAGCUAUUUGGGAGGCUAAAGCAGGAGAAUCGCUUGAACCCAGGAGGCGGAGUUUGCAAUGAGCUAAGAUUGCACCACUGCAUUCCAGCCUGGGCAACAGAGCAAGACUCUGUCUCAAAAAAAAAAAAAAAAAAAAAAAAAGAGGAACCAGGAGGCCAGGGCCUAUCAGACUUCACAAAGGAGAUUCUCUCAGAGGUUUUCUGCAUAGACUUGGUGGGUGCUUGUGAGUUAAGUAGGGAUGUCCUCACACAGUGGCAAGCUGGUCAGUGAUUCUGAAACCCAGCUGUGCCCCAUGUCCCCAGGGGAUCCAAGCACAGAUUCUCAGACCACCUCAUGCCUAUUGGUUUAGAAUCUCUAAGGGUGUGCUCAGGAGUCAGUAUUUUUGUUGUUGUUUUAGAGACAGUGUCUUUCUCUGUCACCCAGGCUAGAGUGCAGUGCAUAAUCAUGGUUCACUGCAGCCUUGAACUUCUGGGCUGAAGUGAUCUUUCUGCCUCCGCCUUCCAAGUAGCUAGGACUACAGACACUGGCUACCAUGCCAAGCUAAUGUGUUUUUAGUUUUUGUAGAGAUGAAAUCUCACUAUGUUUCUCAGGCUGGUCUGAAACUGGCCUCAGGCGAUCCUCCUGCCUGGGCCUCCCAAAGCGCUGGGACUACAGGCGAGAUCCACUGCACCUGGCUAGGAGUUAGCAUUGUUAUCAAUCUCCCAGGUGAUACCGUCAGCUGUAAGGAUGUGCUUUUGGGACUCUCCAAUAGCGCAGGUUCCACAUGGACAGGGAGGAUGCUCUGCUCUCCUGAGUGUCUUAGUAGCGUGGUAGAAAUCACCCCUCAAAGGGGACAUCUUUGAGUGAAAGCGUCCUCAGCUGCCAUGCUCUGCCCUGUCAGGCGUGAGAGCGCUGUGAAGCAGGCAUUGGGAAUUUGCUUCUCAGGGGCUAGGGAAGUGGCACCUUGAAGGCCUGCAACACCCGAUUGGGCCAAAGGAGGAGUAGAAAGAAUGGGAGGGCCUGUAUAGCAAAGCCCCACAGACAGAAAUGUGUGUCCUCACAGUUCUAGAGGCUGGAAGUCCAAGAUCAAGGCAGGCAGGGUUAGUUUCUCCCGAGGCCUCUCUCCGUGGCUCGUAGAUGGCUGUCUUCAUCUGAUGUUUUCAUGUGGUCUUCCAUCUCUGUGUGUCUGUCCCUUAAUCUGUUCUUCUAAGGAUACCAGUCUUAUUGCAUUAGGGCCACCCUGGUGACCUCAUUUAACCUUCCUUACCUCUUUAAUGGCUCUGUCUCCCAACACAGUCACAUCCUGAGGUCCUAGAGGUCAGGACUUCAACACAUGAAUUUUGGGGGGACCCAAUGCAGCUCCUAGCAGGGGCACACAGGGCAGAGUGGAGAAGGGGAAGGGACGUGAGGCUGAAGGGAGAGGUGGGACAAUGUCACACCUGCUCCUUCUGCUCCACGCUUUUCCCAGGCCGGCCUGGCCUCUCCGCUCUGCACCAGCCUCUGAGGAAUCACCACCACCACCGCACUUGGGAGAUGGAAUGCGAUUUUCCAAAGCCCUUUCCUAGUUCUUACUUUACUUAUUCUUUACAACCAUCCUAUAAGACAGGCCAGCAGGGCAGGGGAGGGAUCUAGUGUUAUUUUGUGGAAAAACAAGAGUGUAAAGAAGUGAGCAGCACAUCUGAGAACACCAUGGUUGGCACCAGGUUUCAUGACCCCCAGAAUGGUGUUCUUUCCGUGGCCACACUGAGCACCUGCUACACAUAAGAUGUGCUUUUCCUUGGCUUCCAGCAACUGGGGGUGCAGUGUCCCAGGAGGGCUAAGAGGUCCAAGUGAGAGCUGCCGAGGGAGUGACAAGGGGUGAGGCAAAGAGAUUCCAUUGCUUUUUAAAAAAAUUAUCUCUCGCAUUCUAUCCUGAAAUGGAACUCCUAGGAGACUAAAGCCCAUUUUGUGUAUUUAGCUAAGUGUUUCUCCUUUUUCUCCCUAUUAAAAGCAUGGGGCUUGCCUAAGUCAUUAAAAAUACAUGUUCCAUUUGCUUUGAUGCAGAGGGUGAGAAGAUGGAAGAGCCAAGGGGACCAGGCUAGUCAUGUCUGGCUGCGCCCCUGGAGCCCCAGAGGCUGAUGGCUGAGCUGAUAAUUAGCAGAAGAUCUGGAGGAUCCCAUUCACUCCACACACACUUAACAAGUGCUCACUAUCCUAGCCCCCAAACAAGAUAUAGCUCUGCUGCCACUUCCUGGAACCUGAGGGGGAGACAGUCAAAUAAAUGGAUGAUGACAUGAUGGUGUAGAAAGGCAAGAAGUGGAGAGAUAUACAUUGAGGCCUUCAAUAAUGGCCCAAUAAAGGGGCCAGGAGACAGGGAGGAGAGGAGGGAGUCGAGGUCUAAGGAAAGAGUGGGGCUGGAGAUUAAUGGUUGCACCUAGCUAGGUCACACCUCUGUGUGUGUGUGUGUGUGUGUGUGUGUGUGUGCGUGCACAAACAUGCAUGAGCACACAUGAGCAUGCACGAGCAUGCACUAGCUCUUGUGACGCACAGCACCUGUCCGGGUCCGCAUUCUCUGUGUUCCUUGGAGCCCGAGCCAUGCAGGUGGAAGCUCUGUGAGAUUCACAGAAUUUGCAGCCAGGGCUGGCAGUUCUCAGGGGCCUGAAUGCUGCAAGUGGCUGAUGACCAGUGGGAGAAGAUGCGAGGGAGAGAGGCUGCCGCCCUGAGGGAAGGCUGAUCGGUGACCACCUAUAAGACAAGCUCAACUGCCUAGGAGUUCUCCUGAGACAAGAUGUUGCUGUGCCAUCCAGGCUGGAGUGCAGUGGUGCAAUCACUGCUCACUGCAGUCUGGAACUCUUGGGCUCAACGGAUCCUCCCACCUCAGCCUCCUGAGCUGGGACUACAGGCAUCACAGACUUUCCCAGGGCAAGGGGACGUCAGCAGAGGAGCAUAAAUGCCAGGAGACAUUUCUCAGACUAUUCUGGCAAAACCUCCCCUGAAGCGAGCCCCGACUUCUGCUGGGAGCCCUAGGAGAGGUGAUGGGUUCAGCUAAAUAAGUGGCCAGGACCUUCCCCAGCUUCGGGCCUUAUCUGGGACUGCCCACCGCCCUUGGACCCGCCUCAGAAGCCAUUCAGACACCUUCACCGCAGUGGGGAGAGCAGCUGCUGGCUAUGAGGUCACCAUGGUGACUGUUGACAGCCGGCAUCCUCAGGCCUGGCCUGGCACGGCCCCGGGGAGCAGAGGGGCUGUAGGCCACAGCCCGCCCACCUGCUGCCUCGGGGCAGCCUGUGAGCAUCGAUCUCCCCCUGGCAGUACCAGUUCAAAAGCAGGGCUCCAAGCGGAGGCAAAUGCUGUCAAAGUGCCCCUCCAGGAGAGCUCUAAGGCAUUACAGACUUAAACUAUUGUCAUUAUAAAUAAAAUCGAACUCAUUACUCAUGAGAUAAUAAAAAUUAUGAUGUUAGAAAAAUCCUGGCCUAGUCAAAAUAUCCUAAUUCUCCACCUGAAUGUCCCCAGAACUUGUGACUCACACCUUUAUCCAGUCUUUCUGAUAUCUUGCUGAAAUCUGUUUUAAGAUUAUUUACUUCUAUUUCUCUGAGGUGCAGGAUGACCAAUAACCUUGCUUCUCAAAAAUCUUCAGCUAUUUUAAGGCGAAUUAAGCCUUCUCUUCUUUAAGCUACAGCAACUUCAAUUACUUUAGCUAGUGCUUUUGUUUUUUUUCUUCUGAGACAGAGUUUUACUCUUUGUUGCCCAGGCUGGAGUGCAGUGGUGUGAUCUCCACUCACUGCAACCUCUGCCUCUCGGGUUCAAGCAAUUCACCUGUCUCAGCCUCCCGAGUAGCUGGAAUUACAGGCGCACGCCACCACGCCCGGCUAAUUUUUGUAUUUUUAGUAGAGAUGGGGUUUUACCAUGUUGGCCAGGCUGGUCUCAAACUCCUGACCUCAGGUGAUCCGCCUGUCUUGGCCUCCCAAAGUGCUGGGAUUACAGGCACGAGCCACCAUGCCCGGCCUAGCUAGUGCUUUUUAAUGACCAAACAUCUUUUUAUUUUAUGUUUUAAUGACCGUGGUAUAUCUGCUCAAUACAUUAAUUUCAAUCGACUUAUUCUGCUCUUAGAAGUCCACUUGCCAAUAAAGACAAGGGAAAAGGAAAAAAGAAUUUGAGGAAAGCAUAGGAAAGUUAUAUGACCAUUUAUCAAGAUGAGAGGACCAGCAGCCAAUUUUUAAAAAAAUGUGUUACUUUUAAUGGUUUUUUUUUUAGAGCAAUUUUUUAUCUCUUUUAAUCAUCUCUAUUGCCCAUCUCUGAAUCCCUUCCAGUUUUCAAUGUUUUUAAGAACGAUGUGGCUGGGCACAGUGGCUCACGCCUGUAAACCCAGUGCUUUGGGAGGCCAAGGCAGGUGGAUCACCUGAGAUCGGGAGUUCGAGACCAGCCUGACCAACAUGGAGAAAUCCCGUCUCUACUAAAAAUACCAAAUUAGCCGGGCAUGGUGGUGCAUGCCUGUAGUCCCAGCUACUUGGGAGGCUGAGGCAGGAGAAUUGCUUGAACCUGGGAUGCAGAGGUUGCAGUGAGCCGGGAUCGCGCCAGCCUGGGCAACAAAAGCGAAACUCCGUUUCAAAAAAAAAAAAAAAAAAAAGGGAUGUUAAGCAAAACGACCCAUUAUUCUAAUCAGGGUUUGAGUUGCUACAUUGUAUCAGAGAAGAACUACUUUCCAAUCUCUGUAAGUCACACAAGUAUACUUUGUUAUAGUCCAGUUAUCAGCUCACUUUGUUUCUUUGCUUCUAACAACACUAACUUGAUAUUUCAUAUUGAGGUUGUGGUCAGCCAGGGCCCCUGAAUUUUUGUUUUUGUUUUCUGUUUUCUAUGCCAGUGCCUGACUAUCAAGUAUCUUGAUAUUAGUAUGGGCUCCCUGCCAUUUCAUUUAGAACUUUGUAAUUGAGGCAUAAUAAACAUGUAUAUAAGAUAACACGUAAUUAUACAACUUGAUACGUUUUCACAAGAAGAAAAUGUCUGUGUAACCACCAUUCAGAUUAAGCAACUUUAUAUUAUCAACAGCCCAGAAGCCCCUCUGCUGUCCUCCUUUACCAUCCUUGCCCCACCCUGAGGAGGUUAACCACUAUCCCGAUUGCUAACACCAUAGAUUAAUUUUGCAUAUUUUUCUUCUUUAAAAUAAUUCAAUCACAUAGUGUGUACUAUUUAGUGUCUGGUUCAUUCACAUUGCCAUUCAUUUCUACUUUCUUUUCUUAUACUUAGCCUUUUCAUAAGCAGGCCUAGAAGGAUCUAGGGGUCUGAGAACCAAGGUGUUUCAACUCCAGACCCAUCUGUUUUGACUAUGGCUAAGUAGCACAGUACCUAUGACAUGCCAGAUCUCUGAAUUAGAAUUUUACUUGAACCAUUUACUGGUUAUGUUGUUCCUUUCACCCUUUGAAAUCAACUACCUCCAUCCUAGGUCAAUUCAUAUUCUUAUAUCAGGGUAACCUUAGAAGAGUGUGUGUGUGUGUGUGUGUGUGUGUGUGUGUGUGUGUCACUGCUUUAGCCCCAUGGGAAAUUAUUUCUGCUAUUAUGAGGGAAAUGAUUGUUGAGAGUUGUGGUUAUGUUAGGGAAGUCUUUAUUUCAGGUGUUCAAUUCAGCAUUUAAUUCCUAGUUGUCGUUGCUGCCAAUACGUUAUAGGAGUGGCAGGUCUCAGAGGCAGGGGAAUUAUGUGUGUGCAAUGCCUCAGAGCAGUGUUUCCUGACCUUUUCCGUAAGUGCCACGGUAAAACAUGAUCAUAUUUAUAUGGCAAACUGGCAUAAGUGGAAGAGAUAUUUUUGUAGUAGUAGCUGAUAACACAUAAGACAAUGUUCUACAGCUACUCAAAUCUUUAUAUUUAUGUAUUUACUUAUAGAUAAAUAUUAUAUGUAACAUAAUAGAAGUAUAUUAUAUGUAACAUAUAUAUGUAUAUUAUAUAUACAUAUACAUAUAAUAUUAUAUGUAACAUAAUAGAAGUGUAUUCAAAUAUAUUUGCAAAUAUAGUUAACAGAUAUUUGUAUUUAAGGAAUGCAAGCUUUUUCUUUUCUUUGUGUCAUAUGCAAUGUUGGACUUUUGUGUGCAUGCCUACAUGAAUAGAAUUUCAAAUCCAAACUAAUUUAUUUUGCAUCAAUUAUUUCAGAAUAAAGAAGUUCUCGUUUUCAGAAUACACACACAUUGUUAGAGCGGUGCUUCAGCAACUAUCUUGGAUGUCACCAAAGGGGCACAUCACUCAAAAUCACAACAGAAAUCUCCCAUCUGUGUGAAGACAGAGGUAGAGCUGGGCCUGCCAGAAGCCCCUGCCUGCUCCUGACUGGUCUUUGGGCUGUGGGCCAUGCUCCCUGGGCACGUGGAACACAAGGUCCUCUAGCUGCUUGUGGGCUUCUUGUCCAUGUACAGCAGCUGCAGACUUUGUGGCUGGCUGCUGAAGCCCAUGGCCAGGUGGCGGAGGCAGAGCAACAGGUGGGGGCGGCUGCACAUGGUGCGUGCCGCCUGCAGGACCCUGGACCAUGCCUGCAGACCCCAUGCUCCCUGGCUGCCCUCCCAGGAGCAUUAAGUGAGGCUCCCCCAGCUGCUCGAGGCCCUGCUCAGCUGCCCUGAAGGAUGAGGGGAUCAUCUUGCAUGGCAUGCCUGCAACUCAUUUGCAGCUUUCUAGUUUGCUCACCAUUCAAAACUUUGCUCCUAAGAUGCUUUAGUGACUGAGACCAAAUGCUCUAGAACCUUCCAUGAAGCAAGCUCAUAUGUGCGCCAGUUGAGACUAGGAGAGCUUUGUUGGAUGACUUCCUGAUUAUCUAGUCAGAAGGCUGAUGAAAAGGUGUCUGUAUGAGUGUGGGGCUAAAGACAUUUACACAGGAUGCAGAAAGGUGACUCAGAGAUCCAGGAAAUAUGAAUCAGGCCUGCUGAGAACCCGUGAGGAUUGGCAGUAGUCUGAGAGAAGAGUUUCAUUCUAAAUUCAGCUGGACCACGUCAGGCUGUAUCAGAGAGGUUUGUCAUAGGCAAUUCAAAUACAGCAACUGAGAAGAGUUUUUAAAACAUUUAAUUCUGUUUUUUAGAGACAAGGUCUUGCUCUGUUGCUCAGGCUGGAGUGCAGUGGUGUGAUCAUAGCUCAUUGCACCCCUCAAACUCCUGGACUCAAGAGAUCCUCCUGCCUCAGCCUCCCAAGUAGCUGGGACUCCAGGUGUGUACCACCAUGCCCAGCUAAUUUUUAAGUUUUUUGGUAGAGAAGGGGUCUUGCUGCAUUGCCCAGGCUGGUCUUGAACUCCUUACCUCAAGUGAUCCAUCUAGCUCGGCCUCCCAAAGUGCUGGGAUUACAGGCAUGAACCACCAUGCCUGGCCCAGCAGAGUUUAAUAAAGAAAUUAUUGACAAGAGUUUACAGAGUUAAGAAAAGUCAAAAAUAGUUAAGGAAACACCACAGGAGGAGGGAGCCAUUAUUCCCUCUAGGCUUGAAGAGAAGGAGCAAGGGGAGGGAGCAGGUAUCAGAACCUGGGGAAAGAAACCCUGUGAGGUGGGAGCUGUAAUCUUUGGUACAGUGUUGAGGCCACUGGCAACCUCCAAUCCAGUGGGAAGGAGCAGGUGGAAAAAAUGCUACAACUCACUCUCCUCCUGCCUCCAGUCUCCUGCCAGUGCCUUCCUCUGGCUAAACCCACGUAGCUGCUGAAGACCAUGGCACCCAUUGGUGCAGUCCACAAAGGCCUGCCUGUGGGACAUAGAGUAGAGAGUGGAAAAAAGAGACACCCUGCACUUCACCAUCCACAGAAUGAUGGCAGGUCGCUAACAUCAUGCUCUCAUCUCAAAUCUAAAGUGUUAGCCAUGAUGCUCUUCAUGGGAGGUUUUGGGGUGAAAGUGAAGAAAGAACAUCAAGUAAUUAACAUAGAAGCUGCUACAUGCUAUACCUGCUUCUGAGGCCCAAGUUAGUAAUAGUGGCUUCGUCCCCUUACUGCCUAUUACCUAUUUUCCUAUUCUCUGAUAGUGCCUCAACCGAGCUGGGUUCGUUAUCUUUAUUCCUUCACGAUCAGCAUCCUUGGUGGUCCUGUUGUUAUUGGGUUGCCUCGAUUUUCCACUGAACAGUGAAUUAAGAGAAUACUAAGCACUGGCCUGUAAAUUCCUGGACUCUGCAUAAAGUCUUCCCUGCCCUCAUUGUAUAGUGAGUGGCAAGCAAAUUCCUCCUUUGUAAUCAUAUCAGAUACCUUGGCCAGCAGUGCGAGCCCCAUUUCUGCCUGUUGGAUCAGUAGAAAGAGAGCCUGAAAUGGUUAGAAGGCAGUCUCAGCUUCCCAUUUAACAGAACCUUGGUUGUGUUCCCUUGUUCUUCCCUUGUGCACAAAGACCUGCAAACCCACUGAGCUCAAGUUUGCAAGGAUCAGAAGCAAACACCUCCUAAGAGGAUGCAACAGGUUUGGUGUAGUGGCUUAUGCCUGUAAUCCCAGCACUUUGGGAGGCUGAGGCAGGAGAAUCACUUGAUGCCAGGAGUUUGAGACCAGCCAGGGCAAUGUGGCAAGACCUCCCAUCUCUACAAAACAUACAGAAAAUUAGUCGGGUGUGGUGGUGUGUGCCUAUAGUCCCAGGUACCUGGGAGGCUGAGGUGGGAGGAUCACCUGGGCCUGGGAAGUUGAGGUUGCAGUGAGCUGUGAUCGUGCCACUGCACCACUGCAUUCCAGUCUGGGUGACACAGUGAGACUCUGUCUCAAAAAAUAAAAAAUAAAAAUAAACCCUGUGCUGCACCUUUUUUUUUAAUCUUAAGAUGAGUUUUCUGAUCACAGGCAAUGUGAUCUAUAGUGAUGAAUAGGGCAUUCUAUAGGGACAGUGUUGGUAGAGUGUUAUGAACAGGGAAACCAAAAACAUGUAGAAUAUAGAUCUAUUCAUAUAAGGACCCAUCACUGCCAUACCAUGUUGGAUGGGAUUUACUAUUAGCAAUCUGCCACCAGAUUGAUGGUGACUUCAGCUCAGCGAAUAAUACAGACCAACCCUGACUUAGGAUGGUUCAACUUACUGACUUUUACAAUGGUGCAAAAGUGACACACAUUCAGUAGGAUCUGUACUUCAAUUUUUGAAUUUUGAUCUUUUCCUGGGCUAGCAAUAUGUGGUACAAUACUCUCUUGUGAUGUUGGGCAGAGGCAGCAGCAGCAGCUCCUGGUCAGCCAGGUGAUCACAAGGGUCAACAACCAACACUCUACAGUGCCCUGUGUGGCCAGAUGACUUUGCCCAAUGACAAGCCAAUGUAAGUGUUCUGAGCAUGGUUAAGGUGGGCUAGCCUAUACUAUGAUGUUUGGUAGGUUAGGUGUAUUAAACACAUUUUCAACUUAAGAUAUUUUCAACUUGCAAUGGGCAUAUGGGGACACAACCAGGUCGUAUGUCUAGGAGCAUUGAUGCCAUAUGGGGAACUCAGCACUGACUUCUGUUAUUGGCUGCACAUUGUUAAGACAAUCACAGUCUUCAUCCCAGAGAAGAGGUGGAACAAGCCACCUCGUACAUGGUCUCAAUGAUUAAGUCCAGGGAUGCCCUCUGGUAGGCACUCAUGUAGGACACAAAUGUCUUCACAAUCUGUGUCUAGAUAGUGAAGUCUACCCAGACACCCUUCCCCAGAACUCCUUGUCACCAAUAUUCCAGUCUUGUUCUUCAGUCCUUGACCAGUUGGCCAUCCCAUUAGCGUCUGCUCAUGAUUCUGUGUAAAUCUGUACUCCAGACCAUUUCUCAUUCCAUUUGAAGUGAAUAAUCUGAUAUCCUUCCCAGAAUGCUGCCUACUGGGAUGAUUUUCCUUCACUACUCGCUUUCACAGCCACAGCUGAAUAGGAAUACAGUGACACUGGCCAUCUGCUCCUGGCUGAUGCUGUGUGUCUUUAAACUGGGCCUGGGGUUUCUCUUCAUUAAUUAGUCAUAGGGGAUUCCUACAAAGCCGAAAAUAUAAGUUGUGAGAGAGGCAAGUAGGUAAUAGGGGCAGGUUCCAAGAGUCUGAGCUAUCUGCUUGAAUUAGGUUUUCCAAGAAAUGAAAGCAACAGGACAUGCAUAUAUACAGAAGGAUCUAUUGUAAGGAAUUGGCUCACUCAAUUGUGAAGGCUUGGUGAGUCCAAAAUGUGAUGGUGGUAGGUCAGCGGACUCAGGAAAAGGUUGCAGUUUGAGUCCAAAGACAGUCUGCUGGUGAAUCCCCACUUGCUUGGGAAAGGUCAGCCUUUUGUUCUAUUCAGGCCUUCAACUGCUUGGAUGAGGCCCACCCACAUUAUAGAGGGCAAUCUGCUUUACUAAAUCAAUGGAUUCAAACUUAAUUCUCAUCCAAAAACACCCUCACAUAAACAUCUGGAAUAAUAUUUGACUAAAUAUCUAGGCACUGUGGCCCAGUCAAGUUGACAUAUAAAAUUAGUCAGCAUACUGCUUAUGCAAUUUAUUUGGG
rnacentral:lncRNA from 10 species